ACACGUAGUACAUCACGCUCUGGCCCGCCAUGAAGUGCUGCUCCGCCGUCUCCAGGAAGCGCUCCAGGUACUUCUCCGGUGACCCUGGCCUGCUCCUCCGUCACGGGAUCAUUGCAGCAGCACUCUUCAUGCUCCUGGUCACUUCCUCCACAGCCCCAGAGUCAUCUCAUAACAAGUCAGCCUGCCUUAACAGUUUCCAUGUCACACAAACCGUUCUUAGAGGAACUGGACACCAGGAGCCUCAUACCAGGACUGCCCAGCCGAGCCACUCGAUUCCUGACCCACAUGGCCCUUGAGAUGACAAGUGAUUGAUUGCUGCUUAAAGUCACUGAGUUCUGGAAUAAUUUACAUCAUGGCAAUAGGUAACUAAUGCAGAUUCUGGUACCUGGAAAAGGAGUGCUGACAUCAAACAGCUCUAUAGAUGUGGGCGUGGCCUCAGAACUGGCCACAGGCAGGAGCCAGAAGGACUCUGUGGAAAGCGUGAGUGUCUAAGGUGCUUUGAGAGACUGUAUAUAGAAGUCUCAUGGCCUUUAGGGAAGCUGCUGGGGAGUCCUAAAGGAAAGUGAGGAAACUCUUAGUGGAGAUUGGAAGAAACAGGGUCUCUGUUAUGAAAUAAAAGAACAUUUUGUAAAAA
rnacentral:antisense_RNA from 1 species